CUGUAAACGAUGUCGAUUUGGAGGUUGUUCCCUUGAGGAGUGGCUUCCGGAGCUAACGCGUUAAAUCGACCGCUGGGGAGUACGGCCGCAAGGUUAAAACUCAAAUGAAUUGACGGGGGCCCGCACAAGCGGUGGAGCAUGUGGUUUAAUUCGAUGCAACGCGAAGAACCUUACCUACUCUUGACAUCCAGAGAAUUUAGCAGAGAUGCUUUAGUGCCUUCGGGAACUCUGAGACAGGUGCUGCAUGGCUGUCGUCAGCUCGUGUUGUGAAAUGUUGGGUUAAGUCCCGCAACGGGCGCAACCCUUAUCCUUUGUUGCCAGCACAUUAUGGUGGGAACUCAAAGGAGACUGCCGGUGAUAAACCGGAGGAAGGUGGGGAUGACGUCAAGUCAUCAUGGCCCUUACGAGUAGGGCUACACACGUGCUACAAUGGCGUAUACAAAGAGAAGCGACCUCGCGAGAGCAAGCGGAACUCAUAAAGUACGUCGUAGUCCGGAUUGGAGUCUGCAACUCGACUCCAUGAAGUCGGAAUCGCUAGUAAUCGUAGAUCAGAAUGCUACGGUGAAUACGUUCCCGGGCCUUGUACACACCGCCCGUCACACCAUGGGAGUGGGUUGCAAAAGAAGUAGGUAGCUUAACCUUCGGGAGGGCGCUUACCACUUUGUGAUUCAUGACUGGGGUGAAGUCGUAACAAGGUAACCA
rnacentral:rRNA from 1 species